GACGAACGCUGGCGGCGUGCCUAAUACAUGCAAGUAGAACGCUGAAGAGAGGAGCUUGCUCUUCUUGGAUGAGUUGCGAACGGGUGAGUAACGCGUGGGUAACCUGCCUUGUAGCGGGGGAUAACUAUUGGAAACGAUAGCUAAUACCGCAUAACAAUGGAUGACACAUGUCAUUUAUUUGAAAGGGGCAAUUGCUCCACUACAAGAUGGACCUGCGUUGUAUUAGCUAGUAGGUGAGGUAAUGGCUCACCUAGGCGACGAUACAUAGCCGACCUGAGAGGGUGAUCGGCCACACUGGGACUGAGACACGGCCCAGACUCCUACGGGAGGCAGCAGUAGGGAAUCUUCGGCAAUGGGGGCAACCCUGACCGAGCAACGCCGCGUGAGUGAAGAAGGUUUUCGGAUCGUAAAGCUCUGUUGUAAGUCAAGAACGGGUGUGAGAGUGGAAAGUUCACACUGUGACGGUAGCUUACCAGAAAGGGACGGCUAACUACGUG
rnacentral:rRNA from 1 species